rnacentral:rRNA from 1 species
AUUGAACGCUGGCGGCAGGCCUAACACAUGCAAGUCGAACGGUAACAGGAAGCAGCUUGCUGCUAUGAUGACGAGUGGCAGACGGGUGAGUAAUGUCUGAGAAACUGCCCGAUGGAGGGGGAUAACUACUGGAAACGGUAGCUAAUACCGCAUAACGUCGCAAGACCAAAGAGGGGGACCUUAGGGCCUCUUGCCAUCGGAUGUGCCCAGAUGGGAUUAGCUAGUAGGUGGGGUAACGGCUCACCUAGGCGACGAUCCCUAGCUGGUCUGAGAGGAUGACCAGCCACACUGGAACUGAGACACGGUCCAGACUCCUACGGGAGGCAGCAGUGGGGAAUAUUGCACAAUGGGCGCAAGCCUGAUGCAGCCAUGCCGCGUGUAUGAAGAAGGCCUUCGGGUUGUAAAGUACUUUCAGCGGGGAGGAAGGGAGUAAAGUUAAUACCUUUGCUCAUUGACGUUACCCGCAGAAGAAGCACCGGCUAACUCCGUG